AUUGAACGCUGGCGGAAUGCUUUACACAUGCAAGUCGAACGGCAGCACGGACUUCGGUCUGGUGGCGAGUGGCGAACGGGUGAGUAAUGUAUCGGAACGUGCCCAGUCGUGGGGGAUAACGUAGUGAAAAUUACGCUAAUACCGCAUACGAUCUAUGGAUGGAAGCGGGGGAUCGCAAGACCUCGCGCGAUUGGAGCGGCCGAUAUCAGAUUAGGUAGUUGGUGGGGUAAAGGCCCACCAAGCCAACGAUCUGUAGCUGGUCUGAGAGGACGACCAGCAACACUGGAACUGAGACACGGUCCGGACUCCUACGGGAGGCAGCAGUGGGGUAUUUUGGACAAUGGGCGAAAGCCUGAUCCAGCCGUUCCGCGUGCAGGAUGAAGGCCCUCGGGUUGUAAACUGCUUUUGUACAGAACGAAAAGGUUUCUACUAAUACUAGGAGCUCAUGACGGUACUGUAAGAAUAAGCACCGGCUAACUACGUGCCAGCAGCCGCCGUAA
rnacentral:rRNA from 1 species